AGUCUCCCUGCACCUGUAAACCUCCUCGCAGUCCACCUCGGCGAACCCAUCAGCCCAGCUUCCAAAGACUUGUUGCGCACCUACGUUUCAUAUUGUCCUCUGAAACCCCCUUAUAACCCACACGAAACCCAAUUGAGGCCUAUCUCGCAAUUUUUAGCCCCGUAACGGGAUCGUAAAGUGUCAGCCCCUUGUUUGACAUGGGUUUAUCGAACUGGUCCUCCUCCCAACAACUUAAACUUUUGAGCUAUAAAUACAAAUGGUAUCAGGGCUAGGCCUAGUGUGUGUAACCAUUUGAUAGGAUCUCAUCCAUCAAGCACUGCUUCUUAAUUGAACAUUAACAUGCAUCCCACU
rnacentral:lncRNA from 1 species